GCAGAGUGGGAGAAACGAGUGAAAGUUGGUGUAAAACAAACGUUUGAUCGUCGCUUCGGUUCGUCUGCACCGUGAGAAACUCGAUUACUGAACAAGUCUGGAUGCUAAUACAAGCUCUGGAGCUGGUUUUUGUCGAACACGAAUGAGGCUGGAGGCUGUACACACAAGAGCUCGGAGGACGAGGACAGAUCUUCAGCUGAGCUUUUCUUCAGGAGGAUUCCUGGUGUCCCUUUAACGCUGUGGAGGUGUCACCACUUCAUCCACAACGUCAUCCAUGAUCAGAGAGACAUUGUCCAUGAUCGCAGAGACGUCAUCCACGAUCAGAGAGACAUUGUUUUGAUGCCCUACCAUACAAUGACUUUUUUGCCAGGUUUAGAUACCUUGCUAUACUAUAAUAUGUAGCUCAGGACAAAGGAACCAUCUUAAAGCAGCCGCCUUGUAUGAAAGUGAAUAUUUUUAGUGAAAGGUCAGGGUUACUUUUUUUUUUUUUUUUAGCCAUUUGUAUCUGGAGGUUAGGGUUACAGCUUUAAUUUGUUUGAAAACAGAGAAACUCAAAUCAGAGGUAAGUGCUUUUGUUGUCCUCUCCUCCUCCUGUAGAGACAGAAUAUGUUAAUCACAGAAACUGUCCAAAGCUUCAAGUCCUGAAACUAUUACAAAUACAAUUAAAGAAGAAAAAGAAAGUUUAAUUAUCCCUCAAAUGUUCCUAUUACCACUAUAACAUUUCUUAAUUUGUUACUUGUUGUAUUGCAAUUCUGACCACGCAGUUUACUAGCAGCCAUCUUGCCUUUGUUUUCCACAGCUGCACAUAUAUACACACACUCCAAUCUAAUUCAUUACUAUGUAUAUAGUCCUGUUUAUACUGUUCAUAUUGUUUACAAUUUAAAAUAUAUUGUUAUAUAUUAUCUUGUUUAGUAUCAUGCCCUUUUCUGUUUUUGCUGCACUGAAUUUCUGUGAGAAUAGUGAAGGAUUAUCUUAAU